GAUGAAGGAACGUAGCGAAAUGCGAUAAGUAAUGUGAAUUGCAGAAUUCAGUGAAUCAUCGAAUCUUUGAACGCACCUUGCGCUCCUUGGUAUUCCGAGGAGCAUGCCUGUUUGAGUGUCAUUAAAUUCUCAACCUCACCAGUUUUGUAACGAGACAGGUGAAGGCUUGGAUGUGGGGGUUUUGCAGGCUGCCUCAGUGCUGGUCUGCUCUCCUGAAAUGCAUUAGCGAGCUCAUAUUGAGCUUCCGUCUAUUGGUGUGAUAAUUAUCUACGCCGUGGAUUGGACUCAUGCUUGCUUCUAACCGUCCGCAAGGACAAUUUACUUGACCAAUUUGACCUCAAAUCAGGUAGGACUACCCGCUGAACUUAAGCAUAUCAAUAAGCGGAGGA
rnacentral:misc_RNA from 1 species